rnacentral:rRNA from 1 species
AACGAACGCUGGCGGCAGGCCUAACACAUGCAAGUCGAGCGCGCCCUUCGGGGUGAGCGGCGGACGGGUGAGUAACGCGUGGGAACGUGCCCUUUUCUACGGAAUAGCCUCGGGAAACUGAGAGUAAUACCGUAUACGCCCUUUGGGGGAAAGAUUUAUCGGAAAAGGAUCGGCCCGCGUUGGAUUAGGUAGUUGGUGGGGUAAUGGCCUACCAAGCCGACGAUCCAUAGCGGGUUUGAGAGGAUGAUCAGCCACACUGGGACUGAGACACGGCCCAGACUCCUACGGGAGGCAGCAGUGGGGAAUCUUAGACAAUGGGGGCAACCCUGAUCUAGCCAUGCCGCGUGAGUGAUGAAGGCCUUAGGGUUGUAAAGCUCUUUCAGCUGGGAAGAUAAUGACGGUACCAGCAGAAGAAGCCCCGGCUAACUCCGUG